GGUUACCCGCGACAGGACGGAAAGACCCCAUGGAGCUUUACUGCAGUUUGAUAUUGAGUAUCUGUACCACAUGUACAGGAUAGGUAGGAGCCUAUGACCUCGGGACGCCAGUUUCGAGUGAGGCGUUGUUGGGAUACUACCCUUGUGUUAUGGCUACUCUAACCCAGAUAGGUUAUCCCUAUCGGAGACAGUGUCUGACGGGCAGUUUGACUGGGGCGGUCGCCUCCUAAAAGGUAACGGAGGCGCCCAAAGGUUCCCUCAGAAUGGUUGGAAAUCAUUCGCAGAGUGUAAAGGUAUAAGGGAGCUUGACUGCGAGAGCUACAACUCGAGCAGGGACGAAAGUCGGGCUUAGUGAUCCGGUGGUUCCG
rnacentral:rRNA from 1 species